AAAAAACAAGAAUGUGUCCUCAGUACACGAAUGCCCCACUCGCACUAUCAUUUUCCAUGUUCAGUGGACCGUGAAAUUGGGGUAAAAACUCUAAUUUGGCAUUAAAAUUAGAAAGAUCAUAUCAUAGGGAACAUGUGUACUAAGUUUGAAGUCGAUUGGACUUCAACUUCAUCAAAAACUACCUUGACCAAAAACUUUAACCUGAAGCGGGACAGACGGACGAACGGACGGACGGACGGACGGACGAACGGACGCACAGACCAGAAAACAUAAUGCCCCUCUACUAUCGUAGGUGGGGCAUAAAAA
rnacentral:lncRNA from 1 species